GUUUCUAUCAUAUCCCCCCUGUCUCGUCUUUCCUCCAAGCUAUACAUGUUAAGAUCCUUUAACCUUUCCUGGUAAGUUUUAUCCUGCAAUCCAUGAACCAGUUUAGUAGCCCUUCUCUGAACUCUCUUUAAAGUAUCAAUAUCCUUCUGAAGAUACGGUCUCCAGUACUGUGUACAAUACUCCAAGUGAGGUCUCACCAGUAUUCUGUACAAUGGCAUGAGCACUUCCCUCUUUCUACUGCUAAUACCUCUCCCUAUACAACCAAGCAUUCUGCUAGC